GAGGUUGGUUGCUGUUCUUGACAUAAGAUUUUACUAGAAAGCUGCAUUUUUAAUCUUCUGAAAUGCAAGAAUAAAAUGUCACCUGACUCUUCAGCAGUUUAAGACACUGAAGUCUGAAAGUCCCUUUUCAGUGCACUUUCCCAGUAAAUAUUGAAGAGAAUUUUGUUGUUGUGUUGUCACCGUGGAGGUGUCACAGCUCUAAAAAUGCUUCCUGUCAAGUCACAGUAAAAUGUGUCUCUCAGUACCUCCACAGGUCCCUUUCCCAGUGUUUGUGGUGGGAUGCCACUCCACAGAACCUGGAGUGGGAAAGGGGUACAGUGAAGUACCUGCUGUGGGUGGGGCUGUCACUGCUGGGAGCAUAUGGAGGAAGCUCAGCUGUUGUUUGUGUCCGUCCCUCUGCUCCUGCCAUGCUGGAUUUGAUGGACAAAUGGUGCUUGAGCAAGGGGAGUUCCCAAACUGUGCAAGGGUUGUUCUGGAAUGGCAGUUGUUUGGUGCAGUUUUAUUGGAGUGACAGACUGACAGGUGCAGUUAAAAAAUGACUCGCGUCUUGAUCAUCUGUGUUUUUCUUUCUUCAGGUUUCAAAUGCCCACAAUUACUAAAAUAGAGAGAAAACAGGGAAGAAGAGCCGCACAACACUCUGGAGGUGAGGGUGAGUUACCUGGGUGUGGUCUGUGUGACUCCAGAGCUGUCAGGAACUUCUGAACCAGGGCUCUCUUUGGCUUUUAUAUCACAGCUGAGGGAGAGAAACUUCCUUGUUACAGAAAGGUCAGUCACAAAAACCAGAAGACAAUUUUUCUCCUGCUCUUCAGUGCAAAACCAGACUCUGUUCAGACAGUGAGAGGUUAUCUAAUAACACUGUUGAUAAAGACAGUCAAAUAGGACAGACUGUGUAUUGUUGUAAAUAUAUGAAGUAAAUGCUGUCCGAUUUUUCUAAUUUGUUCCUGGAAAAAAAUGUAGAAAUCUUGUUGGAGCUGCCUGACAUUGAGGUGGGAAGUUAUCUCAAGCAAAGUGUUUAUAACUAGCAUUUACAGAGCUGAGUAAAUGAGGAAAAUGUGUUUCUGUAAACUCCAGCAGAAAGCACUUUUAGGUAGAUCAGUUCCAGUGCAACAGAAAAGAGGCAACAGCUGAGACCACAGCAAGUAACAGGUACUUUAUAAUGAAAAAUACUAAAUCUGCUUUUUAAAUAAAUCUGGUUUGAAAACAAAGCCCAGCCCAUAAAGGACUGGCCACAUGCUUUACCUACUAGUCUAAUUCAGCUUUCUAACAACUCUCUGCUUUAUCUGUGAGUACAGUGUGUAGUUAUGACCUGUGCUCUGUAGCAUUUACAGUGCACAGUCUACAAAUACACCCCCAAGCCCUGAGGAGCUGAGCCUGCUAUACCUCCAGUACAGCCACCUGUCCUGAGCAGCAGACUGGGCUCGUUUUGAACAGGUUGCUCGUGCCUCUCUGCUCCAGUGUGGGGAACAGGUGUGCUGUUUUCACUGGGAUUUACCAUCCUGCCAGCUGCAUAUGCAAAACACAUCAUUUGCCUAAUGGUGGCCUUUGUCAGGGAACUGUCCCACCACACCCAGGGCCUCCUGUUCAGAGUCUGUGUCUGUCCUCAGGGGCGUUCCCUGCUGUGUUUUGCUGUGCCAGGGAGUUGAGGAAACACAGAUUGGUGUCACUGAGGGCAUGGUCAGUAGAUGUGCACUGCCCUUGCGUGGCUGACACCAGCCCACAGUAACUGUGCCCAUCAGUAAUUCACAUUUCUACUCUUUGCAGCCUCUCCAGAGCCCUGCCCAGCACAACCACAGCGAGGCAUCCCGUGCUCUUGGGGCACCUGCAGUCAGGACCCCUGCCCAGUAAGGCACAGAUCACUUCAGGACUGGCUGAAGAACAGGAGUUAGUCAAGAAAAGCUGAAGUCCACAGAGGGAUGGCAUCCUGCUCUUCUGAGGGAAAAGUGAGUCCUCAGUGUGUUCCCAGACCUCCUCACUGUCAGACUGAACCUUUUCUGGGUGCAGAGUAGCAGAAAGUAAAGCAGUUGUAGUGGCUGUGAACUCCUUCCAACAGCUCUGAUGGCCCAGAGGUUUCUUUCAGUCCUGAAAGAAAUAAGCAGCUAGUUAGAAACAAACUUAGUUCUGUUUUAAAACAAAACUACCUGUUAUAAAGCAUGUUACUUGUUUUCUUCAGUAGCCUGAGUGUCUGAGGGAACCAGUGAGCCCUUCCUCUGUACCAAACUCUUUAUUUUGUAACUUUUUUAUUAAUGUUUAAUUGCUUGACAUUUCACUAGGUUGCAAUGCAACUUGGUGAGUUUUAGGCAUCAGUAAUAAAACUCUGCUGUUUGCCAAUGACCUCUGCCUUUUACUUACUUAAUCCUACUGCAGGUAACCUACACCAGGUGUGUUACCCUUCGACUGUCUCUUGGUUGUAUCCCCCCAAACCACACUGUUAACCCCCAUGUCCAUGUGCUGCUGUGUCAUUCCACCUGCAGGCACCAGAACACCUGGUUGGGGACCAGCACCUUGACAUUUCUCCAGCCUUGGACUUUAUUUUGAGUCUGGUGUAAGCAGACUCAGCACCACGAGCCCGUGCCCUGUAACAGAAAUAGCUUCUGCAGCCCUAUUUUCUAUUUGCACUCUGAAUCACUGCCUAAAGUGUCACCACUUUUCUGCAUUCCUGGGUUAGCCACUGCCCUGGCUCAAGCUGAGUUUCGGGGAUGUGGUGUUUAGUAUGUUUUAGUAAUAGCUUGGAGUCAUUAAUGCUGCUGAUUCAAAGGAGCACUGCCCACCCAAAACCCUCCUCACCUGAGAGCACAACAGGGACACAUCCCUCCCACCUGCCCAGUACAGCAACACCCUGGGGACUGGUGUUAGAGCAAUGCUGCUGCUUUUGUUCAAGAGUUGAAUUACCAUGAGAGCCUCUCUCAGCUGCCAGUUUGGCCAAUACUUGCUUUGGAGUUAAACUGAACACUUGGGGAUUGCUGGGAGGGAACAGCCCCUCUCCAGGUAAACUUACGUGUUUCCAUAUCUCCCCAGUCCUCUCAAUGACAAUAGUUUGGGAUUUAUUGACAGGUGAUGUGACCUUGUAGUCAUCAGACAGGAGGCCCAGAAUAGGGUACUGAUUCCUGUACCUGUGAAAGAGAAUUGCCACCUUGUAGAAUGAGAUCUGCAGACCUGUGUCCAAAUCCCUAACUGUGACCUUGCCCCACAGCCCUGCCAGUCCUUAAUCCCCAAAGAGCUGCACAAAGCCAGCAGAGACAUUUCAGUGUCACUGUGACACAUUGGACCCCUCUCCCAGUGCUGAACCCUCCCUGUACAGGAAAACCUCUCUUGUCUUUUUCCCCUUUAGAUUGAACGGGCAGGAUUAAGACAUUUGCAGGAACAGCUUGAUUAGCAGAGAGGAAAGAAAGGAGAACCCAAAGGAUGUAUUUUUAAGGAAGGUGAAUAACCACGUUACUUUUUAGUGAUGAUGGCUGUCACUCCAGGGGACUGACUGCCCGAUAACUUCUCGUGCUUCAGUCUGAAGAGCUCCUGGGAAAACCAACAGAAAACAUUCACAGGAAGUAAUGUUUUCUGAAGCAUCAGUUCAGUAAAGUCGCUACAAAAUAUUUGCAGAAAUUCUUCCCAGGGAACAGUCUGAAAAGUCUGUCCUUCCAGAAGGCUGGCAGAGGAUUCAGUUAGAACAAAUCCUAACCCUGAUUCCUGAGCCAGGGGAGGACAAGUGACUUCCCAGUGAGCUUCCACCUACACAGGACCUGGAGGUUUUAAUACACAAACUCUUAAAAGAGAAACAACUUGUGUUAUUUUACCUCUUGCUG